ensembl:lncRNA
CCUGAUCAGAAUGGCACUGUGACUACAGGAGGAACAGACUUGGAGAAGACUAAGAACUGGCAUAACAAAACUAAGUAGAUGGCAUAGGUCACCCCAUUUCCUUUCGAGCUCUUUGUAGGCAGACACCUUAUUAAUAUUGGUAAUUGGUCUCCAUGACACGUAGUGUAGGGUAUGGAGCUUAGUCAGUGAGGACUAUGGAAUUAAUCAGUGAAUGAACAAAGAACUAAAAAGCUCCUUGAGAGUAAGAAGGCGUCUUCAUUUUUCACUGAUGAAUUUGUAAAUUGCUGCUGUUUACAAUGACUAGUCUUAGUCAGAAAGCACAAAGUGGCCCAGCAUUAUUUUUAGUAAAUUAUUAGCUACUUAAAGACAGCACCUGUAAUUAUUUUCUUUGUGUCUUUGCUCACCUUCCUCCUAGCACAGUUAUUUGUGCAUAACAAGUCAUUAGUAAAUGUUUAAUGAAUGAAAAAUUCAGCUCGUAGACUAAUGAAGUUUCUUUCUUUUUAAAAGAAAACUGUUGAAACAUCAUUUUCAACAGUCUUUUUACAUUUACCAGUGCUUCUUAGUGGGGCCGAGUCUGACAGUUAUAAGCAUGAACAACUAAAAGAAGUAGAAUCAAAUAAUGCUUGAACUGGAGGAGGCUUUAGAGGUCAUUCGGUCCAGCUGCCUACCUGAUGUGUGUAGCAGUACAACUGCUAUGGGACCAUCUGGUUGCAGGAAAACAAGCUCACGGGUGCCACUGAGUCUACAUUAUGGUGAGUUGUAUUAUUAUGUCAUUAUAUAUUAUAAUGUAAUAAUAAUAGAAAUAAAGUGCACAAUAAAUGCUUGAAUCAUCCUGAUAACCAUCCCCCAACUCCCAACCCCACCCCCCAUCCAUGGAAAAAUUAUCUUCAUGAAACCAGUACCUGGUGCAAAAAGGUUGGGGAAUGCUGAACAAGUAAAGGUUCAAUAAAUGUUUGGGAGCAGAAAGGAUUCAGUAAAGGAAAGAAAGGCGAAUGGAAAGAUGAUUUGCAAAAAUGUUUAUAGCAGUUGAUGAACUUUUGGAUUGUUUUCACUUUUAAUAUUGUACUUUUCUAUAUUUCUUUGAUUUUUUUUCUCUCCAAGGAGCAUAUACAGUUAGAAAAUAGUAACAAUGUCAUUUUUAACAAAUAAAAGCUUUGUAGCUGGUAUACAUUGGCCAGGUUUAGGAAUAUGUGAGAGAUCCAAGAGUAGUCUGAGACUGAGGAGAAAGAGCUUUCAUAUGGCCAACCAGCAAGAAUGGGUUUUUGUUGCAAUCGCAGUUUUAGUGUUCUCUUGCCAUCCAAAAGGUAACCAUUUCAUCCUUAGGUAAAAAUAGAAGAUUUUCACCCCAAAUAUGGCAGAUGAUGCCAACAAUUCCAGAACCAGAAGCUUUCCUCUGCUAACGGAAGUCCCCUGUGCAAGCUGGCCCCAUCUCAGCCUCCCACUAGAGGCUCCUUGUCAGUAUUAGCCAGACCCAUGGGAUUUGCACUGGUACCUGAAUUAGAGUUUUCUCUGCUCUCCCUCCUCUCUUCCUGGCCCCCUCAAAAACUUUGCAGUUUUUCCCUCAGUCACUGAUUUCCAUCUUUUAGAUGUCCUAGGCACAUGAUCCAGUUCUAGUUUCUGCAACAGACAAUUAGAGAAAUGUCUGUCUGCCAGGAGAGGAAAUAGGAUGCUGAAGUGGUACCUCCUUUGCCCCACAUAAAGUGCUUCUGUCUGGAUCUUCUCCCAGAAUCCUUGGGAGCAGAGGCUGCUGCC